CCGCCGUAGCUCAGCCCGGUAGAGCGCCGGACUCAUAAUCCGGAAGUCCCGGGUUCAAAUCCCGGCGGCGGCA
rnacentral:tRNA from 1 species